CGCAAGAUAGCUCAGUCAGUUGAGCAUCGGUCUGCUAAACCGAGGGUCGCCGGUGCGAAUCCGGUUCCUGCAA
rnacentral:tRNA from 1 species